CCUGCCCUAUACAGGGGAAUAACAGUGAGAAAUCACUGCUAAUGCCGCAUAAGCGCACAGUACCGCAUGGUACGGUGCGAAAAGCUCCGGCGGUAUAGGAUGGACCCGCGUCUGAUUAGGCAGUUGGCGGGGUAACGGCCCACCAAACCGACGAUCAGUAGCCGACCUGAGAGGGUGACCGGCCACAUUGGGACUGAGACACGGCCCAGACUCCUACGGGAGGCAGCAGUGGGGAAUAUUGCACAAUGGGGGAAACCCUGAUGCAGCAACGCCGCGUGAGUGAAGAAGUAUUUCGGUAUGUAAAGCUCUAUCAGCAGGGAAGAAGAAAGACGGUACCUGACUAAGAAGCACCGGCUAAAUACGUGCCAGCAGCCGCGGUAAUACGUAUGGUGCAAGCGUUAUCCGGAUUUACUGGGUGUAAAGGGAGCGCAGGCGGCCGUGCAAGCCAGAGGUGAAAACCCGGGGCUCAACCCCGCGGAUUGCCUUUGGAACUGUAUGGCUUGAGUACUGGAGGGGCAGGCGGAAUUCCUGGUGUAGCGGUGAAAUGCGUAGAUAUCAGGAGGAACACCGGUGGCGAAGGCGGCCUGCUG
rnacentral:rRNA from 1 species